GAUGAACGCUAGCGGCGUGCCUAAUACAUGCAAGUCGAGCGAAUUUUUGGGAGCUUGCUCCCAAAGGUUAGCGGCGGACGGGUGAGUAACACGUGGGCAACCUGCCUAUAAGACUGGGAUAACUUCGGGAAACCGGAGCUAAUACCGGAUAAUUCAUAUCUACUCAUGUAGGUAUGCUGAAAGACGGUUUACGCUGUCACUUAUAGAUGGGCCCGCGGCGCAUUAGCUAGUUGGUGAGGUAACGGCUCACCAAGGCAACGAUGCGUAGCCGACCUGAGAGGGUGAUCGGCCACACUGGGACUGAGACACGGCCCAGACUCCUACGGGAGGCAGCAGUAGGGAAUCUUCCGCAAUGGACGAAAGUCUGACGGAGCAACGCCGCGUGAGUGAUGAAGGUUUUCGGAUCGUAAAACUCUGUUGUUAGGGAAGAACAAGUACUAGAGUAACUGCUAGUACCUUGACGGUACCUAACCAGAAAGCCACGGCUAACUACGUGCCAGCAGCCGCAGUAA
rnacentral:rRNA from 1 species